CUUGAGUGAGCCCAGCCACAGCGGGCGGUCCGCCGGUCGGUCCUGGCCGUAGGCGGCGAUCAGCGCCUGCGCCUC
rnacentral:antisense_RNA from 1 species